UUAAGGGCACAUGGUGGAUGCCUUGGCGUCAAGAGGCGAAGAAGGACGUGGAAGGCUGCGAUAAGCCUCGGGGAGCCGUCAAGCAGGCUUUGAACCGGGGAUUUCCGAAUGGGGCAACCCGGCUAGAGUAAUGUCUAGUCACCCUUUUGCUGAAUACAUAGGCUUAAGGGAGCGAACUCGGGGAAGUGAAACAUCUCAGUACCCGAAGGAGUAGAAAUCAAAAGAGAUUCCGCUAGUAGCGGCGAGCGAACGCGGAAGAGCCUAAACCAUGUAGCUACGGCUAUGUGGGGUUGUAGGGCUCCGAUAAUCGAUCCGUAAUUAGAUAGCAGAACGGUCUGGAAAGUCCGGCCAUAGCGAGUGACAGCCUCGUAUGCGAAAUCGAACACGGCGUGCGGAGUACCUGAGUAGGGCGGGACACGCGAAAUCCCGUUUGAAUCUGGGAGGACCAUCUUCCAAGGCUAAAUACUACUUGACGACCGAUAGUGUACCAGUACCGUGAGGGAAAGGUGAAAAGAACCCCUGUUAGGGGAGUGCAAUAGAACCUGAAACCGUGUGCCUACAAGCAGUGGGAGCAUCCUUGAGAUGUGACCGCGUGCCUUUUGCAUAAUGGGCCAGCGAGUUAAUCUGUAGUGCGAGGUUAAGCCGAUGAGGUGUAGCCGUAGCGAAAGCGAGUCUUAAAUGGGCGACUAGUACUGCGGAUUAGACCCGAAGCCGGGUGAUCUAUCCAUGAGCAGGUUGAAGCUUGGGUAAAACCAAGUGGAGGACCGAACCGUUGUAAGUUGAAAAUUACUCGGAUGACUUGUGGAUAGGGGUGAAAGGCCAAUCAAACUCGGUGAUAGCUGGUUCUCUCCGAAAUAUAUUGAGGUAUAGCCUCAGGAGUUUACUUGCGGAGGUAGAGCACUGACAGGGCUAGGGGGCUUACCCGCUUACCAAACCCUUUCAAACUCCGAAUGCCGUAAGUUAAGAUCCUGGGAGUCAGACUGCGGGUGAUAAGGUUCGUAGUCGAGAGGGAAAGAGCCCAGACCGACAGCUAAGGCCCCUAAAUCCAUACUAAGUGGGAAAGGAGGUGAAGUCGCUUAGACAGCCAGGAGGUUGGCUUAGAAGCAGCCACCCUUUAAAGAAAGCGUAAUAGCUCACUGGUCUAGCGACUUUGCGCCGAAAAUGUAACGGGGCUAAGUAUGGUGCCGAAGCUUCGGAAUCAGGUUUACCUGAUUGGUAGGAGAGCGUUCCCAACCGGGAUGAAGGUAGAUUGGAAAGUCUGCUGGACUGUUGGGAAGUGAAUAUGCUGGCAUGAGUAACGAAAAAACAGGUGAAAAACCUGUUCGCCGUAAACCCAAGGUUUCCUGGGUAAAGUUAAUCUUCCCAGGGUUAGUCGGCCCCUAAGGCGAGGCUGAAAAGCGUAGUUGAUGGGAAACGGGUUAAUAUUCCCGUACCUGCUUAUGUUCGUUUGAACGAUGGGGGGACGCAGGAAGAUAGGUCAUCCGGGUGUUGGAUAUCCCGGUGCAAGCUCGUAGGGAUGAGAUAUAGGCAAAUCCGUAUCUCUCUAUCCCGAGAAGUGAUGCCGUGUCGUAAGACUGAAGUGACUGAGUCUAUGCUGCCGAGAAAAGCCUCUAAGUGAGAACAU
rfam:Nelumbo nucifera contig057728, whole genome shotgun sequence